rfam:Fukomys damarensis contig125209, whole genome shotgun sequence.
CUGCCCUGGUUUUUCUUCAAAUAGCGUUAAGUCUUUUGCUUUCUACUAAAGAUUUCUACAGUAAAGGAACUGUUUUGAGUCUUAAACUAGUUUUUGAGGUCUUGUUCUAACAAGAG